GCCCAGGUAGCUAAAAAGGUAGCACGUCUGCCUUGUAAGUGCUAGGUCGCGGGUUCGAUUCUCGCCCGGGGCU
rnacentral:tRNA from 1 species